AUCCUUCAAGUUCCUCCACAAGAGAGAGGAGGAGGAGGACAGGAUGGAGAAGAGGAAGGAGAACGUGGAGAGAAAGAUUGACAAGCGGAAGGAGAAGGAGGAGAAAAAGAGGUUUAAGAAGGACAUGAAGAAGAAGGAGGAACAGGAGGAAGAGGCAGUGCCAGUGUUUGAAGUGCCACUGUGCCUGGCCGUCCAGCGCUGCCCGGCACACGAUGGCAUCCAGCUGCCCGCCAUUGUCAGGGAGUGCAUUGACCAGAUAGAGGUCUCCACUGUGAGGGCAUCUACAGGCUGAGUGGCGUCAAGAGCAAAGUACAUCAACUGCGUCGCCUCUACAACACUGGGGAGGCUGUGAGGCUGUGUGACCAGGAGCCGCACGUCAUCGCAUCCCUCCUCAAGCAGUACCUCAGGGAGUUGCCGGAGCCAGUGAUGCCAUCGGACAUGAUGCCACACUUUGAGGAUGUAGCGAUCAUUCCUAACCCCGGGGAGCGCGCCGAGGCCAUGCGCCAGCUGAUCAACCGCCUGCCAACCGCCAACCGCCUGCUGCUCCAAUACAUGUUCAAGCAUAUGGGACACAUCAUUGCAAGGGGAGUUGCCGGAGCCAGUGAUGCCGUCGGACAU